rnacentral:rRNA from 1 species
AUUGAACGCUGGCGGCAUGCCUUACACAUGCAAGUCGAACGGCAGCACGGGAGCAAUCCUGGUGGCGAGUGGCGAACGGGUGAGUAAUGUAUCGGAACGUGCCCAGUCGUGGGGGAUAACGUAGCGAAAGCUACGCUAAUACCGCAUACGAUCUAUGGAUGAAAGCGGGGGACCGUAAGGCCUCGCGCGGUUGGAGCGGCCGAUAUCAGAUUAGGUAGUUGGUGGGGUAAAGGCCUACCAAGCCGACGAGCUGUAGCUGGUCUGAGAGGACGACCAGCCACACUGGGACUGAGACACGGCCCAGACUCCUACGGGAGGCAGCAGUGGGGAAUUUUGGACAAUGGGCGCAAGCCUGAUCCAGCAAUGCCGCGUGCAGGAUGAAGGCCUUCGGGUUGUAAACUGCUUUUGUACGGAGCGAAAAGGCUCUCUCUAAUACAGGGGGCUCAUGACGGUACCGUAAGAAUAAGCACCGGCUAACUACGUGCCAGCCGCCGCAGUAAUAC